AUUGAACGCUGGCGGCAGGCCUAACACAUGCAAGUCGAACGAGUGGCGGACGGGUGAGUAAUGUCUGGGAAACUGCCCGAUGGAGGGGGAUAACUACUGGAAACGGUAGCUAAUACCGCAUACCAUCGGAUGUGCCCAUAUGGGAUUGGCUUGUUGGUGGGGUAACGGCUCACCUAGGCGACGAUCUCUAGCUGGUCUGAGAGGAUGACCAGCCAAACUGGAACUGAGACACGGCCCAGACUCCUACGGAAGGCAGCAGUGGGGAAUAUUGCACAAUGGGCGCAAGCCUGAUGCAGCCAUGCCGGGUGUAUGAAGAAGGCCUUCGGGUUGUAAAGUACUUUCAGCGGGGAGGCGUUACCCGCAGAAGAAGCACCGGCUAACUCCGUGCCAGCAGCCGCGGUAAUAC
rnacentral:rRNA from 1 species